UAGGGAAUAUUGGGCAAUGGACGAAAGUCUGACCCAGCCACGCCGCGUGCAGGAUGACUGCCCUAUGGGUUGUAAACUGCUUUUAUACGGGAAGAAACCCCUCUACGUGUAGAGGGCUGACGGUACCGUAAGAAUAAGGAUCGGCUAACUCCGUGCCAGCAGCCGCGGUAAUACGGAGGAUCCAAGCGUUGUCCGGAUUUAUUGGGUUUAAAGGGUGCGUAGGCGGACUAUUAAGUCAGAGGUGAAAGCUCGCAGCUUAACUGUGAAAUUGCCUUUGAAACUGGUAGUCUUGAAUAUAGUUGAGGUGGAUGGAAUGUGUCAUGUAGCGGUGAAAUGCUUAGAUAUGAUACAGAACACCGAUUGCGAAGGCAGUUCACUAAACUAUUAUUGACGCUGAGGCACGAAAGCAUGGGGAUCGAACAGGAUUAGAUACCCUGGUAGUCCAUGCUGUAAACGAUGAAUACUCGAUGUUGGCGAUAUACUGUCAGCGUCUAAGCGAAAGCGUUAAGUAUUCCACCUGGGGAGUACGGUCGCAAGAUUG
rnacentral:rRNA from 1 species